rnacentral:rRNA from 1 species
GGCCCUACGGGGGGCAGCAGUGGGGAAUAUUGCACAAUGGGGGGAACCCUGAUGCAGCGACGCCGCGUGGGUGAAGGAGUAUUUCGGUAUGUAAAGCCCUAUCAGCAGGGAAGAACAAUGACGGUACCUGACUAAGAAGCACCGGCUAAAUACGUGCCAGCAGCCGCGGUAAUACGUAUGGUGCAAGCGUUAUCCGGAUUUACUGGGUGUAAAGGGUGCGCAGGCGGAAUGUCAAGUCAGCGGUAAAAUUUCGGGGCUCAACCCCGUCGUGCCGUUGAAACUGGCGUUCUUGAGUGAGCGAGAAG